GCUCAAUCCCUCCGUCUCUAUCCCUCCUCCCCAACCUCCAAGCUCUUCACUUGGACCGCAACAGACUCACUGGAAUGAUCCCCGAAUCCUUUGGAGCUUUCGCGGGAUCAUCCCCACCCGACCUCUACCUCUCCCACAAUCAACUCACAGGCUCUGUUCCAAAAUCUUUAGGUAACAUGAACUUCACAAGAAUCGAUUUAUCACGGAACCAACUUCAAGGCGACAUCUCAUUCUUAUUUGGCAAAACCAAGGCAUUGGAGAACGCUGAUUUCUCGAGGAACUUGUUCGAGUUUGAUAUCACGAAGCUCGAGUUUCCCGAGAGUCUGAUUGCUCUGGACUGGAACCAUAACAAAUUGCAGGGUAAUGUUCCAGUGGCAUUGACUACACUGGGGAACUUGCAGCAAUUCAAUGUCAGCUAUAACAGACUUUGUGGGCAGAUUCCGGUGGGAGGCAACUUACAGAGCUUCACUUACGCAGAGUACUUUCAUAACCGCUGCUUGUGUGGCGCUCCUUUGCCUGCGUGCUAGGCCUAAGGCUGGGCAGAAUCGUUUGAUUUUGAUCGCUUUAUGAUUAUGUAACUUAAAUGCGUUAUAAUUGUUUGUCGCAGAACAUGUUAUUGUAUUUUACAAAUAAAAUUUCUGAGAAACGAAAUUACAGCCUUUCGAUUUGGACAAAUGGUUUUAUUCCUACCCCAGAAACUGUUGCGGUACAUGGGGUCGUUGAUAUUUAUGAAGUCGAUUCCAGCAGUCGCGGCUUCUUGGUGCUGGAUAAGGUACCCACCCACCCAAUAAAUACCUUCUGGUUGGGGAGCCCUCGAUCUUGACUUGUCUGAAACUCAUAUCCGAGUUCUACAAAGAAUUCUAAACAUGCGGAAUUUUUGAAGUUAACUCGUCACCAUAAAUAGAAAAAGUGACUUAAAUAUGAUAGGUGGUGUUUGGUUCAUAGUUAAUAAAUCCGGUUAACGAGAAUCGGAAUCUCAAAUCGAUGUUUGAAUCACCUGUUAGGGAUAAAAUACGAGAUUCAAUCUUCUAAUACAAAGCAGACACACAACAAUAUAUUUGACGUGGAAACCCCACGUCCCAACUUGUAUUAUUAAUCAAAACAAUUAUUAAUAAUACAAUCAACCAAACUUGAACACUCAAGCCUACUACUUAAGCAUCCGCUCGCAAGCGAUACCUAAGUCUACAUCUUGAGCAUACCUGUUAUCAAACACAAUAUGACUAUGUAUAUAUAGCCAUCUCAAACUAGACAAAUCAGAAUCUAACUCUAACUCUGAAAUUCCUAACUGCAAUUAGAAUCCAAUUCUGAAAUCUUCAACUCAAAUCAGAAUCCAAUUCCAACUGGGUUAAUACCCAUCAAUCCUCUUCUAACUUUGUGACCAAAACAUAUCUUUUAUAAUAAUUGUCUAAACAUAUAAUUAUUAUCCUUACUAGCUUAUAGCCCGUGCAAGGCAUGAGAGCUUUUUAAUUAUUUAUAAACUUUUUAAAUAUAUUUUAAAUGAUGUGAAAAAAUUUAAUUUAUAAAUAAUAAAUUAAAAUUUUCAAUAAAAUAAAAUUCGAAAUUAUGAUUUGUUUGUAAGUUAGAACUUUGGUAAAUACAUCAUCACAGCCAUUAAUGGUUUCAAAUAAAUUAUUUUAAUCAAGCAAUUCCUUUUCUCGUAUGUAUCAUGCCAAAGUAUUAAAUUUUAUUAUAUUUUGAGUGGAAUACGUUAUGCCAACUCCUAUUAGAUUAUAUUAAUAAAUGUAUUUUAUAUUAAAAUUAUUAUAAUGUGAUUUAAAUAUUUUUCAAAAAAUUUAUAUGGUUCUAAAUUAAAAUUGAUAAACAUAAUUUGUUUUGAAUUAAGAAAAGGAAUCAUAAAUAUGCAAUAAGAAGGUAGAAUCUAUUUUGGAUUAAGAAAAAGUUUUUGUAUUUGUUCCUCACAUAAAUCCGGCUUAUUAAUUUUAAAAUAUAUUAUAAAAAAAUUGUGACGGUGAGAUUUAUAUGAUUCUACGAAUAAAACUGGUAGGAAAUAUUUAUUUAGGAUUAAAAAAAAUCAUAUACAUGUGAAAGACAGAAUUUGUUUUGGAUUCAGAAAAGGAAUUAUAAACAUGCAAGUAGAUAUCAGUUGCCUUCUAGAACAGAAUUUAAUUUUGUUCCAAUCUAACGGUGCUUAUUUGUUCAAUAUAAGAUCCAACGGAUGAUAAGCUUUUGGACCAGAGGACCAUGCGACCAAAUUAUCUCCCUUACGUUUAUUAUAUAUAAGUAUAUAAUAUAUUUUGGAUCACCAAAGUCCAUGUUACCUAACAUCACCUAUUUUGUAUCGUUCCCUCCACAUUCUUUGGAUACUCAUUCUCAUACCUUUCAUUUUCAUUCACAAUUCUCGUCUAACAUUCAAACGCCAAAAAUUUAAGACCAUAAUAACCCCUAUAGAUUCAUAAGGUUCAAAUGCCAUAGUUCCGUAAGAGAAAUGAACUGCUCAUUCCACUGAUACCCUUGCAAGUUGCAACAGUUGCCAUCCUCUCAUGUGUAUGACCAAAUUUGCGACUGUUUUCUUGCCCGAAAUUUAUUUCUCCUCGAAAUGAAGUCAUUUGUUAAAUUAUUAGUCGAUCAGUUCACACUGCAGGCAUCAAAAUAUCCAGAUACAGAUUCCAUGGCUGCAGUCGACAUGGAAAAAAUGCAUAUUAUAAAUGGAAACUCUUAGCAACUAUAUUUGCAAAUACUAGAAAAUGAAGCUCUUUGUUAUUUUCCUCUUUUACUUCUUCUCCCUGUCAUUACCUUCCUACUCAAAGAGGUGCAACUUAAAGGACGAAAAGGUCCUCUUAAAAAUCAAGCUAGCCCUUAAUAACCCAUACCAUUUGGCCUCAUGGAUCCCAGACACUGAGUGCUGCAACUGGUACUGUGUAGACUGUGAUCCCAGCACCAACCGCAUCAAUGCCCUCACCAUCUUCCAGGGUAAUAUUUCUGGACAAAUCCCGGCUGAAGUCGGAGACUUGCCUUUUCUAGAAAUACUAAUUUUCCGUCAUCUUACAAAUGUAACCGGAGAAAUACCAUCAGCCAUUGCCAAACUCUCCAACCUCCGGAUGGUCCGACUCAGCUGGACCAACCUCACAGGACCUGUGCCUUCAUUCUUUAGCCAGCUCAAAGCCUUGACAUAUCUAGACUUGUCGUUCAAUCAGCUCUCGGGCUCGAUCCCUCCCUCUCUAUCUCUCCUUCCCAACCUCGCUGCUCUUCACAUGGACCGCAACAGACUCACUGGAACAAUUCCUGAAUCCUUCGGAGCGUUCACUGGAUCAUCCCCGCCAGACCUCUUCCUCUCGCACAAUCAACUCACAGGCUCGGUCCCAAAAUCUCUAGGCAGUUUGAACUUCUCAAGAAUCGAUUUUUCUAGGAACACACUUGAAGGAGAUAUUUCUUUCUUGUUCGGGAG
rnacentral:lncRNA from 1 species